rnacentral:rRNA from 1 species
UGGGGAAUAUUGGACAAUGAGGGAAACCUUGAUCCAGCAAUACCGCGUGUGUGAAGAAGGCCUUAGGGUCGUAAAGCACUUUUAUUAAGGGAAGAAGACGCUAAAGUUAAUAGCUAUAGCGUUUGACAUUACCUAAAGAAAAAGCACCGGCUAACUCUGUGCCAGCAGCCGCGGUAAUACAGAGGGUGCUAGCGUUAAUCGGAAUUACUGGGCGUAAAGAGUACGUAGGUGGUAGUGUAAGUUAGAUGUGAAAGGCUCAGGCUCAACCUGAGAAUUGCAUUUAAAACUGUUUUACUAGAGUUUUAUAGAGGUAAGUGGAAUUUCCGGUGUAGCGGUGAAAUGCGUAGAUAUCGGAAGGAACAUCAGUGGCGAAGGCGGCUUACUGGGUAAAAACUGACACUGAGGUACGAAAGCGUGGGUAGCAAACAGG